rnacentral:rRNA from 1 species
CAGUCGCCGCGGUAAAACGGAGGGGGCUAGCGUUGUUCGGAAUUACUGGGCGUAAAGCGCACGUAGGCGGCUUGGUAAGUUAGAGGUGAAAGCCCGGAGCUCAACUCCGGAAUUGCCUUUAAGACUGCCGAGCUAGCAGGUGAGAGAGGUAAGUGGAAUUCCGAGUGUAGAGGUGAAAUUCGUAGAUAUUCGGAAGAACACCAGUGGCGAAGGCGGCUUACUGGCUCAUACUGGACGCUGAGGUGCGAAUGCGUGGGGAGCAAACAGGAUUAGAGACCCCCGUAGUCCCUGUCUCUUAUAC